GUUCAGACUCGGAAGUUUUUGCCGGAGAAGGUCUGACCAAACUGCCACGAGGGAGGAGCAACGUUCCAUGAGGUGGACGAACGGCGAUCAGAGGCGGUGACUCUGAAAGAAAGAGCUUGGCCAAUGAGGACAGCGUUGGACUGCCAAGUGACUCUGAAAGAAAGAGCUUGGCCAAUGAGGACAGCGUUGGACUGCCAGUUCUGUCCCCAGUUCCUACUCAUCCUCACCCAAUCCGUCUUCGAUCCCUUCACGCUCACUCCAUUAAUAUCUCCGGCACCAGCGACGUUGGUUACUAAAACGAGGUUGAAG
rnacentral:lncRNA from 1 species